UAAGAGGAAACCAACAUGAAGAGUUUGAGGAGGGAAUUUUAUCUUGGGAAAGCCCUCAACAACCAUCCAAGCUAAAGUGGCAAGUGCAUGAACAACUGAAACUACAGAAAACAGCAGCCAUGUAACUUUUCCUUCAUUUAUUAGAUGCAGAACAUGGGUGGUUUUAAUUGCCAGCUUAUGUACUUUCUCUGUGUUGUGGCUGUCCUUUGGAUUCCCCCAAAUUGUUUCUGCCAUGGUCCAUGCUGCUAAAGGGUGUUGUAGGGUUGAACGCUUCACUUUGUCUAUGAUUUUGGCAUAUCUGAAGGACAGUUCAUCUUCUCCACAGAAGACAGCUGAGGAGCGUUCUUGUUAUUGAUUGAUCUUCCUUGAAAUGCCACCUGAUGCGGGAGGCUUCAUGUGGCAGCUUGAGUGCAACUUUCUAGGGCCUGUGUCAAACCAGCCCACCAGUUGCCCACAGCAUGGUGAGCUUAGCACCAAAAUAAAGAAGAUGAUGAUGAAGCAGAAGCACUCAGCCAGGUUUUCUUAAUCUUUUGGAAGGAGCAUGCAGAUACUAGGAAAGCUACCAAUCUCCACCAAGGUCCCAUGAACUAUAAAAGGUAGAAAUAUGGACAAGCUGUGAACUAAAUAAUUGGGAUCUACAUAUGUAACAUGUUCAAAGGCAAUAAAAAAAAACAU